rnacentral:lncRNA from 1 species
CCACAACCUCCAGAUGAAGGGGUGACAGCAGGGCUGUGGCAAUAAGGAAACUUCAUCCUAGAGUAGGGCAACGAGCUCUAAUGUUCUUAGUCUGACCAUUGUCAUGAUUAUUGUCUGACCCUCCAUCAGUUGACUGCCUGCGGCUGGUCUCCUUUCAAAACAGCAGCCCCGAGAGUCUCCUGCUCCACCUGAAGGGAACGUGCCAGCUUACUAGGACUCCUUCUUGCUACCAACCUCCUGCGCGGUCUUUCAGCGCAUCCACCAGAGGGUACUAUUAUUAUGGAAAAUGUUGCCUCCAAUCAAUAGGGUGUUUUGAUGGAAUUAACUGAUCUUUGCAUAAAAAUAUAUUCAGUCAUACACGCACAUACACAAAUGUACACACACACUCACACACACGACACCAGUCCUCUCUCAAAAUAGCUUAGGUGAUUUUUCUUGAUGCAAAGCUCUGAUUCCCACAAGAAUAUAAAUAAAAACAAAGAGAGACUAUAUCCCUCAAGACUCCAGAAAAAAAAAAAAUAGUACUGCUUAGAAAGGAACUCAUAAACCAUUUUCUCAUUUGGAAACCAGUACCGUGCGUGAAAAGCCCAUCCAACGGACGGCAAACUCAGAUGUGUUUACACGUCUAUUAGAAUUGAUGGAAUGGUUGUUUUUGACACAUUUCAGGAUUUGUUUUUUAUUUUAAAUUUUCAGUUGAGAACAUCCUUUAUGACAUAAAUCCUAUGCAGCACGUGUGGCUUUUGACAAGACCAAGGAGCUCGAUAACUUAGUGAUGUAAAUUAAAAGAUAAUCAUGAUUGAGUAUUCAAUUGCAAAAAUUUAAUAAAUGCACAAAGAGGAAGGCGGGAUAAAGGCAAAAUGAGCAUCUGAUUUCCCGGCCUGUGCAGCUCACAUUGGAACGUAAGGGUGGAGCUGCAGGAGAGGACCCGCCUGUACCUGGAUGUUUCAGGUCGCGGAAUCCAUGGUGCUGUGCCAUGACAGCAGGCGCGAUUCCAGAACACACCAAGCUACAACUUUCUAGUGCCAAACACCGUCCAACUGCAGGACUGACACGCAAGCGCCGAACAACAGAGAAUGAGUGGCAUGAGCUCCACAAAAGCAAAAGUGAGAAUGAGCAGUCAAGUUCUCCACUGUGUACAGACCCCCCCAUCCAAGGUCAAAGUGAUGUGUCUCUUAGAGGCUUUGGGACACUUUUUAAAACGUCUUGGAACUUGUCAAGCUUAACUGAAGGUGAUUUGCGUUAA